ACGCUGGCGGCGUGCCUAACACAUGCAAGUCGAACGGUAACAGUCCUUCGGGAGCUGACGAGUGGCGCACGGGUGAGUAACGCGUGGAUAUCUGCCUAUUAGUGGGGGACAACUACGGGAAACCGUAGCUAAUACCGCAUAAUCUCUACGGAGGAAAGCAGGGGACCUUUCGGGGCCUUGCGCUGAUAGAUGAGUCCGCGUCUGAUUAGCUAGUUGGUGGGGUAAUGGCCUACCAAGGCGAUGAUCAGUAACUGGUUUGAGAGGAUGAUCAGUCACACUGGAACUGAGACACGGUCCAGACUCCUACGGGAGGCAGCAGUGGGGAAUAUUGCACAAUGGGCGAAAGCCUGAUGCAGCGACGCCGCGUGCGGGAAGAAGGCCUUCGGGUUGUAAACCGCUUUCAAUUGGGAAGAAGAGAUGAGGGCUAAUAUCCCUCUGAUUUGACGGUACCUUUAGAAGAAGCACCGGCUAAUUUCGUGCCAGCAGCCGCGGUAAUACGAAAGGUGCAAGCGUUGUUCGGAUUUACUGGGCGUAAAGAGAUCGUAGGUGGUUUAUUAAGUCGGAUGUGAAAUCCCGGGGCUCAACCCCGGAACUGCAUUCGAUACUGAUAGGCUAGAGUUUGGGAGGGGUAAGCGGAAUUCCGUGUGUAGCAGUGAAAUGCGUAGAUAUACGGAGGAACACCUGAGGCGAAGGCGGCUUACUGGACCAAUACUGACACUGAGGAUCGAAAGCGUGGGUAGCAAACAGGAUUAGAUACCCUGGUAGUCCACGCCCUAAACGAUGUCAACUAGCCGUAGCGGGUAUCGACCCCUGCUGUGGCGAAGCUAACGCGAUAAGUUGACCGCCUGGGGAGUACGGUC
rnacentral:rRNA from 1 species